GACGAACGCUGGCGGCGUGCUUAACACAUGCAAGUCGAACGGUAAGGCCCUUCGGGGUACACGAGUGGCGAACGGGUGAGUAACACGUGGGUGAUCUGCCCUGCACUUCGGGAUAAGCCUGGGAAACUGGGUCUAAUACCGGAUAGGACCACUGCCUGCAUGGGUGGUGGUGGAAAGCUUUUGCGGUGUGGGAUGGGCCCGCGGCCUAUCAGCUUGUUGGUGGGGUGAUGGCCUACUAAGGCGACGACGGGUAGCCGGCCUGAGAGGGUGACCGGCCACACUGGGACUGAGAUACGGCCCAGACUCCUACGGGAGGCAGCAGUGGGGAAUAUUGCACAAUGGGCGCAAGCCUGAUGCAGCGACGCCGCGUGAGGGAUGACGGCCUUCGGGUUGUAAACCUCUUUCAGCACCGACGAAGCGCAAGUGACGGUAGUAGCAGAAGAAGGACCGGCCAACUACGUGCCAGCCGCCGCAGUAA
rnacentral:rRNA from 1 species